AUUGAACGCUGGCGGCAUGCCUUACACAUGCAAGUCGAACGGCAGCGGACCUUCGGGUGCCGGCGAGUGGCGAACGGGUGAGUAAUGCAUCGGAACGUGCCAUUGAGUGGGGGAUAACGUAGCGAAAGUUGCGCUAAUACCGCAUAUUCUGUGAGCAGGAAAGCAGGGACCGCAAGGCCUUGCGCUCUUUGAGCGGCCGAUGUCAGAUUAGCUAGUUGGUGAGGUAACGGCUUACCAAGGCGACGAUCUAUAGCGGGUCUGAGAGGAUGAUCCGCCACACUGGAACUGAGACACGGUCCAGACUCCUACGGGAGGCAGCAGUGGGGAAUUUUGGACAAUGGGGGCAACCCUGAUCCAGCCAUGCCGCGUGAGUGAAGAAGG
rnacentral:rRNA from 1 species